rnacentral:rRNA from 1 species
ACGGAGCAGGCAAGCGUUGUUCGGAAUCACUGGGCUUAAAGCGCGUGUAGGCGGCCUCGCAAGUACUUUGUGAAAGCCCUCGUCUCAAACGAGGAACUGCUUGGUAUACUGCGGGGCUUGAGGCGGGUAGGGGUGCUUGGAACUCUAGGUGGAGCGGUGAAAUGCGUAGAGAUCUAGGGGAACGCCUGUGGCGAAAGCGGAGCACUGGGCCUUGCCUGACGCUGAGACGCGAAAGCGUGGGUAGCAAACGG